AUACGUAGGUGACAAGCGUUAUCCGGAUUUACUGGGCGUAAAGGGCGUGUAGGCGGUCUUGCAAGUCAGAAGUGAAAUUCCUGAGCUCAACUCGGGCGCUGCUUCUGAAACUGCAGGACUUGAGUGCUGGAGGGGAUAGCGGAAUUCCUAGUGGAGCGGUAAAAUGCGCAGAUAUUAGGAAGAACAACGGUGGCAAAGGCGGCUAUCAGGGCAGUAACUGACGCUGGGGCGACAAAGCGUGGGGUGAAAACAGGAUUAUAUACCCUGAUAGUCCGAGCUGUAAACAAUGAAUACUAGGUGUAGGGGGUAUCGACUCCGUCUGUGCCGCAGGUAAAACAUUAAGUAUUACACCUGGGGAGUUCGGCAGCAAGGUUGAUACUGAAAGGAAUUUAAGGGC
rnacentral:rRNA from 1 species